AUACGGAAGGCAGCAGUGAGGAAUAUUGGACAAUGGGCGCAAGCCUGAUCCAGCCAUGCCGCGUGCAGGAUGACGGUCCUAUGGAUUGUAAACUGCUUUUGUACGAGAAGAAACACUCCGACGUGUCGGAGCUUGACGGUAUCGUAAGAAUAAGGAUCGGCUAACUCCGUGCCAGCAGCCGCGGUAAUACGGAGGAUCCAAGCGUUAUCCGGAAUCAUUGGGUUUAAAGGGUCCGUAGGCGGCUUUAUAAGUCAGUGGUGAAAUCUCCCCGCUCAACGGGGAAACGGCCAUUGAUACUGUAAGGCUUGAAUUAUUAGGAAGUAACUAGAAUAUGUAGUGUAGCGGUGAAAUGCUUAGAGAUUACAUGGAAUACCAAUUGCGAAGGCAGGUUACUACUAAUGGAUCGACGCUGAUGGACGAAAGCGUGGGUAGCGAACAGGAUUAGAUACCCGGGUAGUCCU
rnacentral:rRNA from 1 species